AAAAUGAACAAUAUUAAUUGUUGCUCACAAUAUUAAUAACUUUUGUUUGUUAGUUUUUUUCUUUAAAUAAAGUUCUGAAAUCGAUAUAGUUUGUGUGAAUUGGACACAGCAAAAACGUGGCUUCAAUGCAAGUUUAUCUAACUUGAUGUGUUCACCUGUGUUCAGCUCGAAGCCUGAUUUGUGUUGUAACAUGCCUAUCAUCUAAGAGAAAAAUGUGAUUGGUGGAAGGGUUGAACGUGGGGCGGGGGAGUUUUUUCUUUGGAACGUUCGGGAGAGAGAAAAAAAGAUCUGCUGAGAUGUGCACGCUGAGUGUUGCUCGCUGUUUCUUUAAGUUAUGCUUUUGUUUAAAGUGUAGUUUUUCUCUCGUCACCGUUACGAACUGAAGCAUCGAGGGACUGUCGAGAUCGCACACCAUUAUGUGCGUUUAAUGAGUCAAGUUACUUUCAGUUUGUGUGCUGCGUUUGUUCAUCGCGGGAGGAUGGAUCAUUAACCAGAGACUGAAGCCCUUGGACAAUGCUAGAUUUCCUCAUCUAGUCAAGUUCCUAAGACGCUCGUUGUUUUGCUGACAACGUUGGAGAAGCAUUCUCAUCUAUCUACUCAUCUGCUCCGUUCUCUUCUGCUCCUCGCGGAUCAAUCGGACUGAGUUACACUGAAGGAUCGCUACAGGUUCGUAAGUACAUUGUUUAUACUUGCUCAUCCGAGUGAAGGGGCAUUUUGUUUAAUGCCACAACGCUCCCAAGCACCGUCCAGGCCUGCAACCAGUUGUUUUUUUUUGUUUGUUUUUUGCCAGUUUCGGUUGACAUUGAGUCUGGGCCCAGUGAAUACCGUUGCUGAACAUUGAACGAGAAUAGUAUUUAAUUAAGAGAAAACACUCGCUUAAUGUUUGUGUUUGAACUAUAGGGUAAACAUUGUACCAAUGAGUGUUUAGAACUAUGAAUAUUGAGUGAAUACCACGGUCGAAUAUUUGUGUGAACAAGUUUAAGUGAUUAUAAUUUUAUUUUUAUUUUAUUUUUUUCCUUUUUUUUCCAUAUUUGAAUGCUGUAGGAAAAAAUCAUUAGAGUUGUGAGAUUUUUCCCACGAAAUCUGUCUUGUGUACAUUUCUGGAAGGCUUAAUUGUUUUACUUUUAUGUUUAAAAGCUAAUACAUCUCCAGGGUUACAUUGUUAGUUGAAAUAAGACAAGUAAAUUCACAUUUUGAAGAAUGUAAUUUUAUUUUCAUUUAAUUCAUACUGAUGCAAGUUUUCCUCACAUUUAUUUAAAUUGAUCACAUUUCAUUAGGCUUAAAGAAAAUUAAAGGAUCCAUUUUGUUAA